rnacentral:rRNA from 1 species
AACGAACGCUGGCGGCAGGCUUAACACAUGCAAGUCGAACGCGUGUAGCAAUACACGAGUGGCGCACGGGUGAGUAGCGCGUGGAUAUCUGCCUUUUGGUUCGGAAUAACUCCGGGAAACUGGAGCUAAUACCGGAUGGUUCCUACGGGAUAAAGAUUUAUCGCCAAAAGAUGAGUCCGCGUACGAUUAGCUAGUUGGUGAGGUAAUGGCUCACCAAGGCGACGAUCGUUAGCUGGUCUGAGAGGACGAUCAGCCACACUGGGACUGAGACACGGCCCAGACUCCUACGGGAGGCAGCAGUGGGGAAUAUUGGACAAUGGGGGCAACCCUGAUCCAGCCAUGCCGCGUGAGUGAUGAAGGCCUCGGGUGUAAAGCUCUUUUGGCGGGACGAUGAUGACGGUACCCGCAGAAUAAGACCCCGGCUAACUUCGUGCCAGCAGCCGCGGUAAU